rnacentral:rRNA from 1 species
AUAUCAAUAAGCGGAGGAAAAGAAACCAACAGGGAUUGCCCUAGUAACGGCGAGUGAAGCGGCAACAGCUCAAAUUUGAAAUCUGGCGUCUUUGGCGUCCGAGUUGUAAUUUGCAGAGGGCGCUUUGGCAUUGGCAGCGGUCCAAGUUCCUUGGAACAGGACGUCACAGAGGGUGAGAAUCCCGUACGUGGUCGCUAGCCUUUACCGUGUAAAGCCCCUUCGACGAGUCGAGUUGUUUGGGAAUGCAGCUCUAAAUGGGAGGUAAAUUUCUUCUAAAGCUAAAUACUGGCCAGAGACCGAUAGCGCACAAGUAGAGUGAUCGAAAGAUGAAAAGCACUUUGGAAAGAGAGUUAAAAAGCACGUGAAAUUGUUGAAAGGGAAGCGCUUGCAGCCAGACUUGCCUGUAGUUGCUCAUCCGGGUUUUUACCCGGUGCACUCUUCUACGGGCAGGCCAGCAUCAGUUUGGGCGGUUGGAUAAAGGUCUCUGUCAUGUACCUCCUCUCGGGGAGAACUUAUAGGGGAGACGACAUGCAACCAGCCCGGACUGAGGUCCGCGCAUCUGCUAGGAUGCUGGCGUAAUGGCUGUAAGCGGCCCGUCUUGAAACACGGACCAAGGAGUCUAACAUCUAUGCGAGUGUUUGGGUGUCAAGCCCGAGCGCGUAAUGAAAGUGAACGGAGGUGGGAACCUUUCGGGGUGCACCAUCGACCGAUCCUGAUGUCUUCGGAUGGAUUUGAGUAAGAGCAUAGCUGUUGGGACCCGAAAGAUGGUGAACUAUGCUUGAAUAGGGUGAAGCCAGAGGAAACUCUGGUGGAGGCUCGCAGCGGUUCUGACGUGCAAAUCGAUCGUCAAAUUUGGGCAUAGGGGCGAAAGACUAAUCGAACUAUCUAGUAGCUGGUUCCUGCC